rnacentral:tRNA from 1 species
ACAGAGUGUAGCUUAACCUAAAGCCUUUCGUUUACACCGAAACAAUGCCUAAUAAACCUAGGCCAUUCUGA